rnacentral:lncRNA from 1 species
UGUCCUGGGGGAUGUUCUCUGAGCUUUGCUCAGAUAAAGGCCUGGGGCAGCAUGAGCAUUUAGGAUGUUCAGCAGCUGUGGCUGGCCAAGUCAUAGAUGAUUUGAAAAUGCAGCCGUCUGAGAGACUCUGAGGGUGCUCCACUCUGGUUGUUGAAGAGACAGGCCAUUUCAGGACACCUCUGCAUCCUUC